UGCACUCUUGGGAAAUGGAAUUUUCUAUUCAAUAUCACGUGACCAUAAACAGCCAAUUAAACGAUCAUAAUUCAAUAAGAUAUUAUAUAGUAUCUAAUAAAACUGCAUGAUUUCGUAAAUGUGUCCAUCUGUACCAAGAUAAAGACUGUAAAUCCAAUAUCUCAAAUCAUGAAAACGAGGCUCUAUAGCCAAGGCUGAAUACUUUCAGGAAGGGUGUAUUAGGUAGAGCGUCAGCCCGUCGCUGAAUAUGCGAGUUCAAAUCCCGCUUGUGUCAACCUUAUGUUAACAACGCAGUGUUGGAUUUUUCCUAUGAAAAUAUUGUAUAAAGUUAUAAAGACAUGUAUUCGUGUAACAGGAAACUAAUAAAUGCUAUAUGUUUAAGCC
rnacentral:lncRNA from 1 species